rnacentral:rRNA from 1 species
AGUUAGUGGCGGACGGGUGAGUAACGCGUGGAAAACCUGCCGUAUACUGGGGGAUAACACUUAGAAAUAGGUGCUAAUACCGCAUAAGCGCACAGCUUCGCAUGAAGCGGUGUGAAAAACUCUGGUGGUAUACGAUGGUUCCGCGUCUGGUUAGCUAGUUGGUGGGGUAAUGGCCUACCAAGGCAACGAUCAGUAGCCGGCCUGAGAGGGUGAACGGCCACAUUGGGACUGAGACACGGCCCAAACUCCUACGGGAGGCAGCAG